rnacentral:rRNA from 1 species
UCCUACGGGAGGCAGCAGUGAGGAAUAUUGGUCAAUGGAGGCAACUCUGAACCAGCCAUGCCGCGUGCAGGAAGACUGCCCUAUGGGUUGUAAACUGCUUUUAUACAGGAAGAAACUUAUCCACGUGUGGAUAACUGACGGUACUGUACGAAUAAGGACCGGCUAACUCCGUGCCAGCAGCCGCGGUAAUACGGAGGGUCCAAGCGUUAUCCGGAAUCAUUGGGUUUAAAGGGUCCGUAGGCGGGCGAUUAAGUCAGAGGUGAAAUCCCACAGCUUAACUGUGGAACUGCCUUUGAUACUGGUUGUCUUGAGUUACAGUGAAGUAGAUAGAAUAUGUAGUGUAGCGGUGAAAUGCAUAGAUAUUACAUAGAAUACCGAUUGCGAAGGCAGUCUACUAACUGUUAACUGACGCUAAGGGACGAAAGCGUGGGGAGCGAACAGGAUUAGAUACCCUGGUAGUCCACGCCGUAAACGAUGGUCACUAGUUGUUGGGGCAAUUUGCUUCAGUGAUUAAGCGAAAGUGAUAAGUGACCCACCUGGGGAGUACGAUCGCAAGAUUGAAACUCAAAUGAAUUGACGGA